AUAAGAAAGAUGUUAUUGCCUUGUUUAUACCUUAUCACACUUAACUGAUGAGUUCAACAUGUCAUGCUUCCAAUAUCCAUAACCAAAUGUUAAUUAAUAGCUUAAUCCUUCCUCUAGUACUCAAUUCCGGUAGAGUAUGUGAU